AUGGCUCGCACCAAGCAGACGGCUCGCAAGUCCACCGGCGGCAAGGCGCCCCGCAAGCAGCUCGCCACCAAGGCAGCCCGCAAGAGCGCGCCGGCCACCGGCGGCGUCAAGAAGCCCCACCGCUACCGGCCCGGCACCGUGGCCCUGCGCGAGAUCCGCCGCUACCAGAAGUCCACCGAGCUGCUGAUCCGCAAGCUGCCGUUCCAGCGCCUGGUGCGCGAGAUCGCGCAGGACUUCAAGACCGACCUGCGCUUCCAGAGCUCGGCGGUGAUGGCGCUGCAGGAGGCCUGCGAGGCCUACCUGGUGGGGCUGUUUGAGGACACCAACCUGUAGCUUGUCUGCGCCAUGUCUGGCAGAGGCAAAGGAGGGAAGGGCUUGGGGAAGGGCGGGGCCAAGCGCCACCGCAAGGUCCUGCGCGACAACAUCCAGGGCAUCACCAAGCCCGCCAUCCGGCGCCUGGCCCGCCGCGGCGGCGUCAAGCGCAUCUCCGGCCUCAUCUACGAGGAGACCCGCGGGGUCCUCAAGGUGUUCCUGGAGAACGUGAUCCGCGACGCCGUCACCUACACGGAGCACGCCAAGCGCAAGACUGUCACCGCCAUGGACGUGGUCUACGCGCUCAAGCGCCAGGGACGCACCCUCUACGGCUUCGGGGGCUGAGUUUCAAGCCAAUUUUACAGUUUGCUCGUAAAAGGCCCUUUUCAGGGCCACCCACCUUUGUCACACGAAGGGCUGACACUGACGCGGGAAGACGGGAAGGUAACGUUUAGCAGUAGUGACGUUGCGGUUCUAGCUAAGCUCCGCUCUUCUGCGCGGAGUAAAAGGUGCUCGUGCGCCGACUGUCCUCAACCGGGGACUGUCCUUAAGAUGGCGGAUCUCGAGUGUGUUAGAACAAAGGACAGACGGAGGGACCUGGUGCGGGCGGAAGCGGCUGGGUUUGUUAGCGGACUUGCGCCAGAGGCUUCAAAAAUGUUUAACUCCUACAGCAUUAAGAUUGUUCUCGAGUCACAUCUGGGGCUUCUACGUAAGCCGCGGCCGUGAAAAGAAGCCUUUUAUCCUGGUGUUUUGCUUUGUACUGUGUGAAGGGCUGUGUAUAGGUGGGUUCAAGUCUAGCAAACGCAUCAAGCGUGGGGAAGGUACUUUCGGUCUUUUCCUCGUCCAUGCGGGCCUGUGAGAGCUCGUAACUAGCACGGCUUACCGGCUACUGCGGUUUCAUACCUUGAUGAUCAAUUUCCUCAUGCUUCGUCAGUGACCCUAGUGACAGUUUCUUCAUGGGUUUUGUCAACCCGUCGUCUUCCCACCUGUGACCCUGACUGCAUCCUCACCUUUCCACUUUCCCACCAAGCUCAAUGGGUGAUUGUUCUACGUCUCGCUCCCCCUGCCUCCCCCUGCCUCCCCUGACGACUUACGGAGAGAAAGCACCGCAGGGAGCCAGGUCGUCUGUGCCUGUGCCUUCGGGAUGACUGAGGAAGCUUCCUUCCCCUGUUAAACUUACUGGACACUGAAUUACUUGCUCAUCCUAACCUAAGUGUCGUGAUACCUCGGUUAAAAGUUUUAGUAUUCUCUACUGGUUCCUUCCCCUCCA